ensembl:lncRNA
ACCCUGCACACAGCAGGGGGUUGAACCCAGAUGAUCAUUGUGGUGCUUUUCAACCCAGGCCAUUCUGUGACUCUAUUCUAUGGUUCUGUUUGAGCAGUAUUGCAAGUGGUGGUGGUUGACCUGCAGCUAACACCUGCUGCUACAUCCUGUGCUCUCCUUCCCAGCCCUGCUCAGGCUCCUGUGCAUAUUUCCAGUGGCAGCAUGUGAGUUGCUGCUAGAAAUGCCGCAUUUUAAUUUAUAACUAGAAAACAGAAGAUGUGACUGCAAAGCAAACGUUGUGACCCAACCGCAGAACUGUCCUAGAUUCUCACAUCUUGUUUUGAAAUUUUAUGACAGCCUUAUUGCCCAGGGGUACAACAUAAUCUCUUUGCAGUUCACUGAUAUGCUUUCUUAUAGCAUCUGUACUAAAUGUGUUUUUAUCCCAGCUGAAUGGAAGAGCACUUUUUAAUUCUUCAGAUGCAAAGGAAAAAAAAAAAUUCAAGAUGCAUAACAGCUAAAAUUGUGUUUGUUGUCAUUUUGGACAUAAAUAUGGUUUGAAAAUAAGCAUUUCCACCCUGUCAACACCCAAAUUCUUCAUCAAUUGUAUUGUUUUCCUGCCUUUCAUUGGCACAGAGCUUGAUAGCACGUUCAGGGCACAGAGCUUCUCCUGUUGAACAGUUUGCUAAGAAAACUUCUGAAUUUGUGAACCACAGUGUCGUUGUUGGGCAAAGUGCAGAAGUUGCUGGUGGCACCAGGUGAGGUGCGGGAACUGCAGGGACCUCCCAUCGUUCAGGUCCUGCAUGGGCCACUUGGGUGCUCCUGUCUGAAGGCAUUUUGUGAGAAAAGGGGAGUUUUAGGUUGGAUAUGAGGAGGAAGUUUUUCCCCCAGAGGGUGGUGACGCACUGAACAGGUUGCCCAAGGAGGCUGUGGAUGCCCCAUCCCUGGAGGCAUUCAAGGCCAGGCUGGAUGUGGCUCUGGGCAGCCUGGUCUGCUGGUUGGCAACCCUGCACAUAGCAGGGGGUUGGAACUGGAUGAGCGUUGUGGUCCUUUGCAACCCAGGCCAUUCUGUGAGUCUAUGAAAGUCAGGAUUUCUGUGAUUGCUGCUGAAAUCCUCAAUUUUUUUUGUGGUCAAUGAACGUGGAGCCCACCAAAAGUCACCUCAGAAGUCAUGGCUACCUAUGACUACCUGGCAUUCCCACACCAGGACCUGCCUGCUGUCUGUUCAAGAAGAAAACAGGAUGAAAACUGAAAAACUGCUUUCCAAGGUAAGCACUUUAGGAUGUACACUUCUGUCUCAAUAGGCAGCAAAGAUGACUGUCUCCAUUCCUCUGGUCAGGCAAGCAACUCAUCAUGAACUAAUAGGAACGGCCAGUACCUGUAUGCUGCAGGUGAAUGAAGUCCUGCACGGGCCCUAUCCUAAGAAGACAUUUAAUUUGGUUCUCUCAGGACAUCCUACCAUUAAAACUAAUGAGCUGGAGUCUUCUGAGGACUGUUUCCCAGUUCGCUGCCACUGUAGGACAGGGUUGUAUCAGAUGUAGUUUUACUGGCUCAAAGAAAUUUUGGGUACACAGAUGCAAAUGUUACAAACAAAAUCAAAACGUCGCAAUGAUCCUAAUUAUGGAAAUAAAUGAAAGCUCUGCAAAGAGAGAUGCACUACUGCAAAAUAAAUG